CCUACGGGAGGCAGCAGUGAGGAAUAUUGGUCAAUGGACGAGAGUCUGAACCAGCCAAGUAGCGUGAAGGAUGAAUGCCCUAUGGGUUGUAAACUUCUUUUAUAUGGGAAUAAAACGUUCCACGUGUGGGAUUUUGUAUGUACCAUAUGAAUAAGGAUCGGCUAACUCCGUGCCAGCAGCCGCGGUAAUACGGAGGAUCCGAGCGUUAUCCGGAUUUAUUGGGUUUAAAGGGUGCGUAGGUGGAUUGUUAAGUCAGUUGUGAAAGUUUGCGGCGCAACCGUAAAAUUGCAGUUGAAACUGGCAGUCUUGAGUACAGUAGAGGUGGGCGGAAUUCGUGGUGUAGCGGUGAAAUGCUUAGAUAUCACGAAGAACUCCGAUUGCGAAGGCAGUUCACUGGACUGCAACUGACACUGAGGCUCGAAAGUGUGGGUAUCAAACAGGAUUAGAUACCCCUGUAGUC
rnacentral:rRNA from 1 species